rnacentral:rRNA from 1 species
GUCGAACGCUCGUCUUCGGACGGGAGUGGCAGACGGGUGAGUAACACGUGGGAACGUACCCUUUGGUUCGGAAUAACGCAGGGAAACUUGCGCUAAUACCGGAUACGCCCUUUUGGGGAAAGGUUUACUGCCGAAGGAUCGGCCCGCGUCUGAUUAGCUAGUUGGUGGGGUAACGGCCUACCAAGGCGACGAUCAGUAGCUGGUCUGAGAGGAUGAUCAGCCACACUGGGACUGAGACACGGCCCAGACUCCUACGGGAGGCAGCAGUGGGGAAUAUUGGACAAUGGGCGCAAGCCUGAUCCAGCCAUGCCGCGUGAGUGAUGAAGGCCUUAGGGUUGUAAAGCUCUUUUGUCCGGGACGAUAAUGACGGUACCGGAAGAAUAAGCCCCGGCUAACUUCGUGCCAGCAGCCGCGGUAAUACGAAGGGGGCUAGCGUUGCUCGGAAUCACUGGGCGUAAAGGGCGCGUAGGCGGCCUUGUAAGUUGGGGGUGAAAGCCCGUGGCUCAACC